ensembl:snoRNA
AUCCUUAUGUGGGUUCCUAAGUGUGAUGACUGGGUUUUCACGCCACUGUGUGAGAUGUUCCUCCCAUCAACCUUCUAACAACAUCAGCAUAUUAUUCAUGAUG